rnacentral:rRNA from 1 species
AUUGAACGCUGGCGGCAGGCCUAACACAUGCAAGUCGAGCGGGCGGCGGACGGGUGAGUAAUGUAUGUGGAUCUGCCCGAUAGGGGGGGAUAACUACUGGGAACGGUAGCUACUACCGCAUACUAUCGGAUGAACGCAUAUGUGGUUAGCUAGUGGGUGGGGUAAUGGCUCACCAAGGCGACGAUCCCUAGCUGGUCUGGGAGGAUGAUCAGCCACACUGGAACUGAGACACGGCCCAGACUCCUACGGGAGGCAGCAGUGGGGAAUAUUGCACAAUGGGCGCAAGCCUGAUGCAGCCAUGCCGCGUGUGUGAAGAAGGUCCUAGGGUUGUAAAGGACUUUAAGUCGGGAGGCGUUACCGACAGAAGAAGCACCGGCUAACUCCGUGCCAGCAGCCGCGGUAAUAC